rnacentral:rRNA from 1 species
AUUGAACGCUGGCGGCAUGCUUUACACAUGCAAGUCGAACGGUAACAGGGAGCUUGCUCCGCUGACGAGUGGCGAACGGGUGAGUAAUGCGUCGGAACGCACCGAGUAAUGGGGAUAACGCAGCGAAAGCUGUGCUAAUACCGCAUACGCUCUGAGGAGGAAAGCGGGGGAUCUUAGGACCUCGCGUUAUUCGAGCGGCCGACGUCUGAUUAGCUAGUAGGUGAGGUAAGAGCUCACCUAGGCGACGAUCAGUAGCGGGUCUGAGAGGAUGAUCCGCCACACUGGGACUGAGACACGGCCCAGACUCCUACGGGAGGCAGCAGUGGGGAAUUUUGGGCAAUGGGCGCAAGCCUGAUCCAGCCAUGCCGCGUGUCUGAAGAAGGCCUUCGGGUUGUAAGGACUUUGUCUAGGGAGGAAAGUACCUUAGCGUUAAUACCGCUGAGGAGUGACAGUACCUGAAGAAUAAGACACCGG